AACGAACGCUGGCGGCAGGCCUAACACAUGCAAGUCGAACGCCCUAGCAAUAGGGAGGGGCGCACGGGUGAGUAACGCGUGGGAACGUGCCUUUCAGUCUGGAAUAAAUGCGGGAAACUGCAGCUAAUACCGGAUAUUCUCUACGGAGGAAAGAUUUAUCGCUGAAAGAUCGGCCCGCGUUGGAUUAGGUAGUUGGUGGGGUAAUGGCCGACCAAGCCUACGAUCUAUAGCUGGUCUGAGAGGAUGAUCAGCCACACUGGAACUGAGACACGGUCCAGACUCCUACGGGAGGCAGCAGUGGGGAAUAUUGGACAAUGGGCGCAAGCCUGAUCCAGCCAUGCCGCGUGAGUGACGAAGGCCUUAGGGUUGUAAAGCUCUUUUGUCAGGGAAGAUAAUGACGGUACCUGAAGAAUAAGACACGGCUAACUUCGUGCCAGCCGCCGCGGUAA
rnacentral:rRNA from 1 species